CUGGCACUCAGACAGCAUCCACAGCAUUGCAAUGGGGCCUCCUGCUGCUGCUGCUGAGGGACCCCAAGAUUCAAAGCCUUGGUGUCCCAGAUUUGCCCCACCUGGGGUAGGUGGAGACCAUGAGGGUUUUAUCCCAUCAUCCAGCAGAGAGACAUCAGUGAGAUUUUUCCCCCUAGUGCCAAGGACUGAAGCCAAACCCCACAGGGUGCUGUGAAAACCUCAAGUGGAAGGAUGGACCACUGGAGCGUGGUGGCAAUGGUCUCUGUUCCAGCCAUGACCAGGUCAAGUAUGGAUGCCAUUAAGUUGUCGUCAUGGA